UGCAGUCGACGAUGAAGCCCAGCUUGCUGGGUGGAUUAGUGGCGAACGGGUGAGUAACACGUGAGUAACCUGCCCUUGACUCUGGGAUAAGCGUUGGAAACGACGUCUAAUACCGGAUACGAGCUUCCACCGCAUGGUGAGUUGCUGGAAAGAAUUUUGGUCAAGGAUGGACUCGCGGCCUAUCAGCUUGUUGGUGAGGUAAUGGCUCACCAAGGCGACGACGGGUAGCCGGCCUGAGAGGGUGACCGGCCACACUGGGACUGAGACACGGCCCAGACUCCUACGGGAGGCAGCAGUGGGGAAUAUUGCACAAUGGGCGAAAGCCUGAUGCAGCAACGCCGCGUGAGGGACGACGGCCUUCGGGUUGUAAACCUCUUUUAGCAGGGAAGAAGCGAAAGUGACGGUACCUGCAGAAAAAGCACCGGCUAACUACGUGCCAGCAGCCGCGGUAAUACGUAGGGUGCAAGCGUUGUCCGGAAUUAUUGGGCGUAAAGAGCUCGUAGGCGGUUUGUCGCGUCUGCUGUGAAAUCCCGAGGCUCAACCUCGGGUCUGCAGUGGGUACGGGCAGACUAGAGUGCGGUAGGGGAGAUUGGAAUUCCUGGUGUAGCGGUGGAAUGCGCAGAUAUCAGGAGGAACACCGAUGGCGAAGGCAGAUCUCUGGGCCGCUACUGACGCUGAGGAGCG
rnacentral:rRNA from 1 species